AUUGAACGCUGGCGGCAUGCCUUACACAUGCAAGUCGAACGGUAACAGGUCUUCGGAUGCUGACGAGUGGCGAACGGGUGAGUAAUACAUCGGAACGUGCCCGAGAGUGGGGGAUAACGAGGCGAAAGCUUUGCUAAUACCGCAUACGAUCUCAGGAUGAAAGCAGGGGACCGCAAGGCCUUGCGCUCACGGAGCGGCCGAUGGCAGAUUAGGUAGUUGGUGGGAUAAAAGCUUACCAAGCCGGCGAUCUGUAGCUGGUCUGAGAGGACGACCAGGCACACUGGGACUGAGACACGGCCCAGACUCCUACGGGAGGCAGCAGUGGGGAAUUUUGGACAAUGGGCGCAAGCCUGAUCCAGCCAUGCCGCGUGCAGGAUGAAGGCCUUCGGGUUGUAAACUGCUUUUGUACGGAACGAAAAGACUCUGGUUAAUACCUGGGGUCCAUGACGGUACCGUAAGAAUAAGCACCGGCUAACUACGUGCCAGCCGCCGCAGUAACAC
rnacentral:rRNA from 1 species